ensembl:misc_RNA Metazoa_SRP Metazoan signal recognition particle RNA
GCUGGGUGUUGUAGUGUGCACCUGUAAUCCCAGUUACUCAGGAGGCUGAGACAGGAGAAUUGCUUGAACUCGGGAGGCGGAGGAUGCAGUGAGCCAGGAUUGCGCCACUGCACUCCAGCCUGAGUGACAGAGUAAGACUCUGUCUCAA